rnacentral:ncRNA from 1 species
CUGGCUUGUGGCGGCCAAGCGUUCAUAGCGACGUCGCUUUUUGAUCUUUCGAUGUCGGCUCUUCCUAUCAUUGUGAAGCAGAAUUCACAAUGAUAGUGUUAGCAUGUUAGUUGUACAAAUAAAAUACAUUUCAGUAUAUCUGUUGCUAUGUUCACGAACAACAUAAAUGAGUUGUGUCCCAACACCCCUGAGG